GCCUAGGGAUGCGAAUCAUGCUGUGGUGCCUCCGCCGCAAAUGAAUGUCUUGAGAGGAAUGACCAUCAGAGCAAACGGCAUUGGUUUAUUCUUGCCUACAAGGACAGGAUUCCAGCUCAUCCUCUCUCAUCCUCCCUCCCUCUCUCGCUCUUUUUCUUUUUGUUUUUCUUUCUCGAUAAGCCCUUACUAGGCAGGGCGUUGCUCCUUACGUUACUUAACCUUGGGGAUCCUUCGCUUCUAUUUUGGAUAGCGUUGGCACAUGCGGCCCGGGCCAUUCCACAGCAGCGUUGUAUAUACAUGGGAGCCAGGGCUUCAGAUUCCAUGGG
rnacentral:sRNA from 2 species